UCCAACUGUGCCAAAGAAUGUGUGUUU
rnacentral:sRNA from 1 species